GGGUUGUGAGGUUAAGCGACUAAGCGUACACGGUGGAUGCCCUGGCAGUCAGAGGCGAUGAAGGGCGUGCUAAUCUGCGAUAAGCGCCGGUAAGGUGAUAUGAACCGUUAUAACCGGCGAUACCCGAAUGGGGAAACCCAGUGUGAUUCGUCACACUAUCAUUAACUGAAUCCAUAGGUUAAUGAGGCGAACCGGGGGAACUGAAACAUCUAAGUACCCCGAGGAAAAGAAAUCAACCGAGAUUCCCCCAGUAGCGGCGAGCGAACGGGGAGGAGCCCAGAGCCUGAAUCAGCAUGUGUGUUAGUGGAAGCGUCUGGAAAGGCGCGCGAUACAGGGUGACAGCCCCGUACACAAAAGCGCAUGUGCUGUGAGCUCGAUGAGUAGGGCGGGACACGUGGUAUCCUGUCUGAAUAUGGGGGGACCAUCCUCCAAGGCUAAAUACUCCUGACUGACCGAUAGUGAACCAGUACCGUGAGGGAAAGGCGAAAAGAACCCCGGCGAGGGGAGUGAAAAAGAACCUGAAACCGUGUACGUACAAGCAGUGGGAGCACAGGUUUACCUGUGUGACUGCGUACCUUUUGUAUAAUGGGUCAGCGACUUAUAUUCUGUAGCAAGGUUAACCGAAUAGGGGAGCCGGAGGGAAACCGAGUCUUAAUUGGGCGUUAAGUUGCAGGGUAUAGACCCGAAACCCGGUGAUCUAGCCAUGGGCAGGUUGAAGGUUGGGUAACACUAACUGGAGGACCGAACCGACUAAUGUUGAAAAAUUAGCGGAUGACCUGUGGCUGGGGGUGAAAGGCCAAUCAAACCGGGAGAUAGCUGGUUCUCCCCGAAAGCUAUUUAGGUAGCGCCUCGUGAAUUCAUCUCCGGGGGUAGAGCACUGUUUCGGCUAGGGGGCCAUCCCGGCUUACCAACCCGAUGCAAACUGCGAAUACCGGAGAAUGUUAUCACGGGAGACACACGGCGGGUGCUAACGUCCGUCGUGAAGAGGGAAACAACCCAGACCGCCAGCUAAGGUCCCAAAGUCAUGGUUAAGUGGGAAACGAUGUGGGAAGGCCCAGACAGCCAGGAUGUUGGCUUAGAAGCAGCCAUCAUUUAAAGAAAGCGUAAUAGCUCACUGGUCGAGUCGGCCUGCGCGGAAGAUGUAACGGGGCUAAACCAUGCACCGAAGCUGCGGCAGCGACGCUUAUGCGUUGGGUAGGGGAGCGUUCUGUAAGCCUGUGAAGGUGUGUCGUGAGGCAUGCUGGAGGUAUCAGAAGUGCGAAUGCUGACAUAAGUAACGAUAAAGCGGGUGAAAAGCCCGCUCGCCGGAAGACCAAGGGUUCCUGUCCAACGUUAAUCGGGGCAGGGUGAGUCGACCCCUAAGGCGAGGCCGAAAGGCGUAGUCGAUGGGAAACGGGUUAAUAUUCCCGUACUUGGUGUUACUGCGAAGGGGGGACGGAGAAGGCUAUGUUGGCCGGGCGACGGUUGUCCCGGUUUAAGCGUGUAGGUGUGUGUUCCAGGUAAAUCCGGUUCACUUUAACACUGAGGCGUGAUGACGAGGCACUACGGUGCUGAAGUAACAAAUGCCCUGCUUCCAGGAAAAGCCUCUAAGCAUCAGGUAACAUCAAAUCGUACCCCAAACCGACACAGGUGGUCAGGUAGAGAAUACCAAGGCGCUUGAGAGAACUCGGGUGAAGGAACUAGGCAAAAUGGUGCCGUAACUUCGGGAGAAGGCACGCUGACACGUAGGUGAAGUGAUUUACUCAUGGAGCUGAAGUCAGUCGAAGAUACCAGCUGGCUGCAACUGUUUAUUAAAAACACAGCACUGUGCAAACACGAAAGUGGACGUAUACGGUGUGACGCCUGCCCGGUGCCGGAAGGUUAAUUGAUGGGGUCAGCGCAAGCGAAGCUCCUGAUCGAAGCCCCGGUAAACGGCGGCCGUAACUAUAACGGUCCUAAGGUAGCGAAAUUCCUUGUCGGGUAAGUUCCGACCUGCACGAAUGGCGUAAUGAUGGCCAGGCUGUCUCCACCCGAGACUCAGUGAAAUUGAACUCGCUGUGAAGAUGCAGUGUACCCGCGGCAAGACGGAAAGACCCCGUGAACCUUUACUAUAGCUUGACACUGAACAUUGAGCCUUGAUGUGUAGGAUAGGUGGGAGGCUUUGAAGUGUGGACGCCAGUCUGCAUGGAGCCGACCUUGAAAUACCACCCUUUAAUGUUUGAUGUUCUAACGUGGACCCGUGAUCCGGGUUGCGGACAGUGUCUGGUGGGUAGUUUGACUGGGGCGGUCUCCUCCUAAAGAGUAACGGAGGAGCACGAAGGUUGGCUAAUCCUGGUCGGACAUCAGGAGGUUAGUGCAAUGGCAUAAGCCAGCUUGACUGCGAGCGUGACGGCGCGAGCAGGUGCGAAAGCAGGUCAUAGUGAUCCGGUGGUUCUGAAUGGAAGGGCCAUCGCUCAACGGAUAAAAGGUACUCCGGGGAUAACAGGCUGAUACCGCCCAAGAGUUCAUAUCGACGGCGGUGUUUGGCACCUCGAUGUCGGCUCAUCACAUCCUGGGGCUGAAGUAGGUCCCAAGGGUAUGGCUGUUCGCCAUUUAAAGUGGUACGCGAGCUGGGUUUAGAACGUCGUGAGACAGUUCGGUCCCUAUCUGCCGUGGGCGCUGGAGAACUGAGGGGGGCUGCUCCUAGUACGAGAGGACCGGAGUGGACGCAUCACUGGUGUUCGGGUUGUCAUGCCAAUGGCACUGCCCGGUAGCUAAAUGCGGAAGAGAUAAGUGCUGAAAGCAUCUAAGCACGAAACUUGCCCCGAGAUGAGUUCUCCCUGAGACUUAAAGUCUCCUGAAGGAACGUUGAAGACGACGACGUUGAUAGGCCGGGUGUGUAAGCGCAGCGAUGCGUUGAGCUAACCGGUACUAAUGAACCGUGAGGCUUAACCUUACAACGCCGAAG
rnacentral:rRNA from 1 species